rnacentral:rRNA from 1 species
GACCCUGUGAGAAUGCCCUCCAUCCCCCGUAUUAACGGACAGGAGGAGUUGAUAUCAGGCACAACCUCGUGUUAGCCCAUGACAUCUAGCUUAGCCACACCCCCAAGGGUACUCAGCAGUAGCAAACAUUAAGUAUAAGUGAAAGCUUGACUUAGUUAUAAUCAAGAGGGCCGGUCAAUCACGUGCCAGCCACCGCGGUUACACGUGCUGGCCCAAGUCGACAGUAUUCGGCGUAAAGUGUGGUUAAUAAGCCUUUUAACUAAAGCCAAACGACUUCUGGGCUGUUUCAAUGUGUAUGAAGACUGGAAGCUCUUCCUCGAAAGUCGCUUUAAGAAUUAUGACGCCACGAAAGCUAGGGAACAAACUGGGAUUAGAUAACCCACUAUGCCUAGCCGUAAACAUAGACAAUUGAGAUACCUCUAUUGUUCGCCAGGGUACAACGAGCCACGGCUUACAACCCAAAGGACUUGGCGGUGCUUUAGACCCCCCUAGAGGAGCCUGUCCUAGAACCGAUUUCCCCCGUUCAACCUCACCCCCUCUUGUUCUUUCCC